CGGAAUAACUGGGCGUAAAGGGCACGCAGGCGGUGACUUAAGUGAGGUGUGAAAGCCCCGGGCUUAACCUGGGAAUUGCAUUUCAUACUGGGUCGCUAGAGUACUUUAGGGAGGGGUAGAAUUCCACGUGUAGCGGUGAAAUGCGUAGAUAUGUGGAGGAAUACCGGUGGCGAAGGCGGCCUCCUGGCUCGAUACUGACGCUGAGGUGCGAAAGCGUGGGGAGCAAACAGGA
rnacentral:rRNA from 1 species